GGUUGGGGCGCCGGAUUCUGUCCCGGUUGCCCCUCUUCCAGGCCAGCUCUCUGCUGUGGCCAGGGAGUGCAGUAGAGGAUGGCCCAAGUGCUUGGGCCCUGCACCCCAUGGGAGACCAGGAGAAGUACCUGGCUCCUGGCUCCUGCCAUCGGAUCAGCGCGGUGCGCCGGCCGCAGAGGCCAUUGGAGGGUGAACCAACAGCAAAGGAAGACCUUUCUCUCUGUCUCUCUCUCACUAUCCACUCUGCCUGUCAAAAAAAAAAAAAAAAAAAAAAAAACACCUCAUCAAAGUGUACGUUCAUGGGGCCAGCACUGUGGUAUAGUGGGUAAAGCUGCUGCCUGCAGUUCCAGCAUCCCAUGUGGGUGCCGGUUCCAGUCCCAGCUGCUCCACUUCCAAUCCAAUUCCAUGCUAAUGGCCUGGGAAAGGCAGCAGCAGAUGACCCAAGUGUUUGGUUCCCUGCCACCCACGUGGGAGACCCAGAUGGAGUCUGGCUCCUGGCUUCAGCCUGGCCCAGCCCUGGCCAACGUGGCCUUUUGGGAAGUGAACCAUGAGAUCAAAGGUUCAUAUUUCUCUCUCUCUCUCUCUCUCUCUCUCUCUCUCUCUCUCUCUCUCAACUCUGUCUCUCAAAUAAACAAAUAUUUUUAAAAAGGAAGAAUUUUACGAAGGCAACAGCAGCACUCAAGGCAUUCUAAACAUAGGCCCCGUCCACAUGCCCAGGAAGCACCACUAUUGUAACCUGAGUGUAAGAUUUAGGACAAAGGACAGGGGCAGAGAAUCUGACAGUGGCCGUUUCAAGAAAACGUACUUUGCGACAUCGCACUCAGAGAGGCCCAGACGACCACAAACCAGGAAAGCUGCAAUAAAGCCAGUCUGCGUGAGAUUUUUUCAGUACACAAUGUAUAAAGCUAAGUACUUGCAAGAAGGAAGCACCCUCCAGCUCCCCUCCCCCCCCCUUUAAGAUUUAUUUAUUUAUUUGAAAGGCAGAGUUGCAGAGAGGCAGAGGCAGAGAGAGAGAAGUCUUCCAUCUGCUGGUUCAUGCCCUAGAUGGCUGCAGUGGUCUUCUGGGUCUCCCGGCUGGGUGCAGGGACCCAAGGACUUGGCCAAUCUUCUACUGCGUUCCCAGGCCAUGGCAGAGCGAGGGAUCGGAAGUGGAGCAGCCGGGACUCAUACCGGUGCCCAUAUGGGAUGCUGGCACCACAGGCAGCAGCUUUACCCAUUAUGCCACGGCACCGGCCCCCCUGCUCCCCUGUCUACAUCCUGAACAUGCCCUAGAAACCUGCUUCUCCCCAAUACAGAUUCCUUGGGGAACUGUACCUUCCUACUGUCUCCUUUACUCAUUGCAAGUAAAUACAGCUUUCCUUUUGAGCAGCUCCCACUUGAGGCUGAUUAUUUGGCAAACGUGUCUACAGCAAACUUCAUACUUAAUGGGGGUCAUAAAAGCUAUGAUGGGAACAAGGAAAAGAUGCGUGCUAUCUUCACUGUGUUCAGUGUCUCUACCAGAGUUUCCAACUGCAACCGGAAAAACAGUACAAAUUAGGACUUGGAAUGAAGCUUGUCACGCUCACGUGAUAUCCCAUAUCAGAGCGCCUGGUCCAGUCCUGGCUAGUGUGCUUGCAAUCAAUCCAGUUUCCUGCUGUUGGGCACUCCAGGAGGGAGCAGGUGAUGGUGUCAUGGGGGUGGCUGGGAAAAGAAUUCCAGGAUGACAUGUAGGCAAAAGUCAGCAGAGAAACAAGAUUUGUUUAUGUGCAAAAUAUAACCACACUCAGGAAAGGGUGUGGGUAUGCACAAGAGAGCUGCACGUUCAGGGCCAUCUCUAUGUGAUCUGGAGGCGUCUUGGGUGACGCCCAUUCAUUGAAUAUUCAGAGAGGGUAGAGCUAGGUGUAGGGCUUGAGUACUGCCCAUUUUCUACCCCCCUCCCUAUUUUGAAAAUAUCAGAAGUCUACGGUAAUUUUAUUAUAAUGACCAUAUAAUUAGCUAAAGAUCUUCAUGGGGACAUAGGCAGCAGCCCUGUUGGUUGUUUUUAGUUGGUGCUGGUUCUGUUCUAGAACGAAUCUCCAGAACUAGUUGGAGGAGUUAUUACAGAACCCCCAAACCUGGGUCCGCUCAUCCGACAAGCAGAAAGCCGAUCGCUGGCAUCAGGGAGGUAGAAGAGAGGAGGUGUUUAUUUGCCAAGCACAAAGGAAGGAGCCAGGCAGCUAUUGCUUCAUUUCCGGGCCCUCCGAGGGGUAAAAGGUAAAGGUUCUUAUAGACUGAAGAUGGGCUGAGAGGUGCAAUGCACAUCCAAAUUCCAGGCUGGUCGGUGAUGCUUAUGGCCAUGCUCUUCAGGGAAUUUAAUGAUGGCCACGUGGGCUUCAGUCUGGGGGCUACAUGCAGGUGGGAGUUACUUUCUGCCCCUAGCCUGCCAUUCUCCUGAACAAAACCCCUGGAGACAAUACCAGCCCUCAAGGUGUUAUCUAUGGAGAAGCAGGUGACAUCAUGGUCUGCUGAUGAGAAUCUCCUAGGGCUGCUGUAACAAAGUGUCUGGUGGGCCAUUUGCAACACAGAAUGGAAAACUACUGUGAGCUGACUUGCAGAUGUUACCAGACUCACCAGGCAAGCAAGAUGUUAUGGAGUAGCCAAGAGGAAAUCAAAGGCCAGAGAAGGGAGGAGGGCAGUCAUUCUGUAACUUGGACGACCUCCGAGAAGACUGUACACCCUAUAGUACUCAGCCAAUGAGGAGCUGGGGGAGGGACCUAGGAUUUAUCCUAGGUUGUUGGUUGUUGUAACUGCGCCAGGUGUGCCUGCUCAUCAGAUACCUGAUCUUACAAGACAGGUAAUAAAGUCUCACUUUCCACGGCACUUCCUAAGUCUGAGUCCCUCUCUUGAGUGCCUAGGUAAGGAUAUUUCCUACUAACUCGGGGCUCAUCCAGGAUCUCUGGGCCUGCAUGGAGGGGGAUUCUGGCACAGAGGGAGAUGCACCCCACCCGAUUUUGGGUGCAGCAUCCCCCCACAGAAAAGCUCAAGAUUGUCAUUCAGAAGACAGUGGCAGGGACACAGAAUUGCACAUGGAGGCACCGCAGGAACCAAGCAACCUCGUGCAAGAGCCAAGGUUCAAAGGACUCCUUGCCCAGCCUCCACCUCUCGAGUUCCUGGUUCACCACUUUGAGCCCGGCGACCUGGUGCUGAUAAAGACCUCGAAGGAAGACAGACUGCAGCCGUGCUGGGAGGGCCCCUACCAGGUGCUCCUGACCACUGAGACAGCCGUGCAAACAGUAGAGAAAGGGUGGACUCAUUAUACUCAGGUUAAAGGACUGGGACAAAGCCAAGGGGACCAGUGGGAAGUGUGUGAGUCUAAAGGACCCUUGAAAGUGACUCUAAAAAGAAUUCCAGCCCCUCCCUCUGCGCAUCCCCUACCCUGACUGAGGCUGUGGAAUUUGGCUGGGGGAGGUGGGAUGGGCUGCUGGCGGGGGAAAGUGGGAAAGGACACUGAAUAUGGGUACCUGAUGUGCUCGGGACGCCCCACAGGGCCAGGCUGGUCAGCUCCAUGCUGUCACUCCAGGGAUUUCAGGUGUGAUUUUCAAAUGCUGGAAUUGAUGACCACUUACUUACAGGUUGGCUAGAGGGUCCUUCGGAAAAUGGGAGGAUAACAAUUUGAGAACAAAAAUAAAACUGGAAAUGGGACCAAAGAGUGUAAAAAUAAAGAGGACGGGGGCCCGCGCUGUGGUGUAGCAGGUAAAGCCGCCACCUGCAGUGCCAGCAUCCCAUAUGGGCGCCAGUUCAAGUCCCGGCUGCUCCAUUCCCAAUCCAGCUCUCUGCUAUGGCCUGGGAAAGCAGAGGAGGAUGGCCCGUGUCCUUGGGCCCCUGCACCUGCAUGGAAAACCUGGAAAAAGCUCCUGGCUCCUGGCUUUGGAUCAGUGCAGUCUGGCCAUCACAGCCAUCUGGGGAGUGAACCAGUGGAUGGAAGACCUCUCUCUCUCUCUCUCUCUCUCUGCCUCUGCUUCUCUGUAACUCUGCCUCUCAACUAAAUAAAUAAAUAUUUUUUAAAAAGCCUGAAGUUUAUAAAUAAAUAAAUAAAGAGGUCGGAUUUGUAAGAACA